rnacentral:rRNA from 1 species
AUUGAACGCUGGCGGCAUGCCUUACACAUGCAAGUCGAACGGUAACAGGUUAAGCUGACGAGUGGCGAACGGGUGAGUAAUGUAUCGGAACGUGCCCAGUCGUGGGGGAUAACUGCUCGAAAGAGCAGCUAAUACCGCAUACGACCUGAGGGUGAAAGCGGGGGAUCGCAAGACCUCGCGCGAUUGGAGCGGCCGAUAUCAGAUUAGGUAGUUGGUGAGGUAAAGGCUCACCAAGCCGACGAUCUGUAGCUGGUCUGAGAGGACGACCAGCCACACUGGGACUGAGACACGGCCCAGACUCCUACGGGAGGCAGCAGUGGGGAAUUUUGGACAAUGGGCGCAAGCCUGAUCCAGCCAUGCCGCGUGCGGGAAGAAGGCCUUCGGGUUGUAAACCGCUUUUGUCAGGGAAGAAAAGGUUCUGGCUAAUUCCUGGGACUCAUGACGGUACCUGAAGAAUAAGCACCGGCUAACUACGUG